AAUAAAAUGUAUUAAAUCAUCUCAUAUUCAUAUAACGAUCAGUUCUUUUGACCGUCGCGAUAAUACCGCCGAGCCUUAAAUUUCCUAGAGAUAGAAAUUGAAAUUUCAUUCCUGCUAUAAUCUGUAACUCUCUACACACUGCGCAUCUCGUAGAUCUUGAUAUACUUUGAGAUCCCCGUAUUCGGCUCAGCUUUGUAAUCUAAAGAUACCGCGGAGUGAAUGUUGGCCGAACUUGGUGUAGCCGAAAAUGAAAGAGGAAAUAAAGAUGUGUCGCAAAGCCAACACAGUGAUCUAUCGUAUUUGUUGGUAUUGAAUAGUCCGAUCCAGUUUACAAUGUUGAUGCAAAAAGCCCAGGAAAUGCAGUAAAUACAUAACUUGGAAAGUGAUUAUAAAAUCGGAGAAAGAAUUCAUAGUGACUUAUAAAAAUAAAGACGUUCGGUAUAGAACAAAGCAUCUAUUGAUUCACUGUGAUGUAAGGAACGUGUUUAAAUGAAUAAUAAAAAAGCAGUUAACGAUAUAGCCAAAUACAAAAGUUGAAUCAAAUAAGCUAAUAUUAUAUUUUUCGCACUUCUCGGUAAAUGAUAUCGCC